CCCUCACAGGGCGCCACGUCCGACCCCGGGGCUCUGCCUCACGGACCCCAUACAUCUUCUCAGCCUCCAGAGCCCCCUCAAAGCCCUCACAGACUCUCAGAGCCUCCUCUGCACCCUCACGAGCCCCCACAGCACCCUCAGAACCUUCACAGCCCACUCACCCCCCACUUCCUGCGCUGGCAGAGGCAGCGCGGAGUUGGUGACAUGCAGUGGGGUGUUUAUUUUCCGUACACUGCUGUGUCACCCUUGGCUCGGGUUCGGGAUUGCCCGCUGCCCGUCGCAGUGGGGUGACAAUCCCGGUUACUCUUGUGACCGCUGUGCAAUCCUUUGCGUGUGGGAUCCGGGCAGGCCACCAACAUUCAUAUGGUUUAGAUCAAAAUACGAAGAGUGAAGAGCAAAUUCAUUCUGUUUCACAGUUAAUGGGCAUUUCUGUGACAUAAAAAUCUCUGCUCCAUCUAGAUUAAUUGUAUUGAUAAAAUACAGCGCUGGAUGUACGGCUGCCCCACAAUUUCAGAGGCAGCGGUGGAGGGCGGGGAGCCACUUCCAGUCCCUUACCCACUUCCCCAACACUUUCUUCCUCUAGUAAUUAAUUCCUCCGUUUGCCAGCUCGCCUAUGUCCUCGCAGAGGACGCUGUCCAAGUUGUGGGCAGAGCACACGGCGGGCCUGUGACAGCCCAGAAGCCAAGCCUUGUUCCUGUGCUGUGGUGCGGGGGUGCUUAAACUGCAGGGCAGGGUGUUGGCCACAGAUGCUGUUCCUGGUGCCUUCUCACUCUUAAUAAAAGCAUCCCUGCCAAAGAAACCAACAUAGCCUGUGUAUGGAAUGUUUCCUUAGCUGUGGGUGCACUGUUUUUCAGAAACAAAAAAGAAAUCCAGAUUCCCCUUCACACGUCUCUUGAUCUUCACCAGACUUGAAGAACCUGUAGUUCUUAGAGCUGGAGCACUGCCAGCGGUGUGAGCGAAUCAAUCUCGGCCUCCACUCGCUCCGCUGCUCCCGCGCUGCCACCCGCUGCCUGGGGCAGCCUCUGGCACCUGGGCGGCGGCGUGUUCCCAUGGCAGCUCUGUCCAGGGGCCACGGCCGUUCUGGCGAGUGCCGAGGACGUGGCUUUGUACCCGUCCCGCUGGGAGGGCGCCGGGCGGCGGCCGGGAGCGGCUCCGGACCCACAGGAGGACGGACAGACGGACGGACGGCGCGCCCCUCCUGGCGCUCCCGGAGCGAGCUUCAGGGAGUGCCCUCGGUUGUAGGAAUGCCGUGAGCUCCAGAGAACCCGUAAUUUCCACUUCGCAAAGUGGAAAGUGACCUGUUGUGUUUGUGGAAGCUUUGGAAUCCCGCAGGAGAAGGAUCACUCAGCACCAUGGCAGUCUGCCAAGUACAACUUGUUCUGCAACACAGUGCUGAGAAGUUGCAUUAUCUACUGAAGCGCAGUGUCAGCUUAGCAGGAGGUGGGUUAGGCCGGUGAUUAGUGACUUGUUGUGACCAGCGAGCCCCCCAGGGCACACUGCACCUCUGCUGCCGGCUCUUCCUUUUCUUUCUACUCCUGUCUUCUGUCCGCCCGUCCUCGGAGCUGGCCCCUGCAGAGCUCAAAAUGCCGGCCUCUUCUAUCCCUGCGCCGUGGUCAGCGCCUCUUCCGUGCGCAGGCCGUGCUCUAUAAGGAACAGUUUCUUAAAUCGCUAAGUUGUUCCGAAGUCAUAUGUUUUAUUCCAGUGAGAACAAAUGCUAAAAGUGUAAAAGACACUAAUUUAAAUUUUAAUUUUAUUUCUGCUCUCCUACUUCUUUGGCCAGUUUUAUGAAGUCAGAAAUCCUAAUACUAUCUCAAACUCUACUAUGAUCAUAAAUCCAAAUAAUCAAUACAGAAUAAUAAAAUAGUUUAGCCAGUAGAAAAGGGAAGUAGCUUAAAUAAUUGUCUUGCAGAUGGAAAAGACAUAAUGUGUGCUAAAAAUACAAAUGUGUUUGUAUUGUUCCAAGAACUCCUGAUUAGCAAAAACAAACUGAGGGCAGACUAGGAUUUACACGAGGAGGUUUGAACUUGAGUAGUAGUAGGAAAGAAGGUACUUGAACCCGUUUUAAAAAAGUGCUUACUACAGACAGAUGACAUAAAACAAAUUGUCAGGCAGAGCAGAGUCAUCUGAUCUUUGUCCAAGAUCCCAACAUCUAAAACUUCUCAUGGGCUUGCUUUUAGCUGCAGUUCUCAAAUCCGUGUCUAUUCUUUGUGGAAUAAAACAUAACUGCAUAUGGCGAAUGUAGACUUUUCUCCCAGGGUGAGCAGUGAGACAGAGCCCCAGUGCUCCCCUGCUGCAGGGUACCCACAGACAAUGGGUCCUCUCCGUACAGCUCUGCACUACUGCAGCAGAGCUGUACAGAGCUCUGCAGGCUUCACUUCCAGGAGGAUGAGGCUCCUCCGGCUUUCUCUGUCCUGCUGGGAAAAGUCUGUGACUGAGAAAUCCCACUGAGGGGCCCACAUGAUCCUCUGCAGCCUUUGGUACUGCAAGACCAGGGCCCGAGUGAGCUGCAGACACAGGAGGGGAAGGUGGCAGCUGUGGCAGAGGGCAGUGGUGAGGAGUUGUGUGUGCUCAUAUGGUGUCUAUGGCUAAAAUAAAUGAGUAAAUGCACUAGAAUAAAUUGUGUAAGGCAAGCAGAUGUCUUAAAAAAUUUGGAGUUGAACAAAUUUAGAUUAAAAGUAAAUGUAAAAUAAAAAUACUGUACAUGUGGAGUAGACUUUCAGAGGAAAGAGAAUGAGUAUUUGUAUAAUAUGGACAUAAAUGUAGUUUAUACAUAUUUAUGUGUAAUGUAACCUUCAAGGCCCAGGCAGAAGAGAAGAAAAUCCUAAUCUGAAAAGAAUGAUGGAUGUUGGUGUGUCAUUUUAAGGUAGGAUUGAUGGCCUCAGAAUUGUUGGAAACAAUUUUUACAGAUUUCACUUGAAUGUCUGACUAAAAGCUUAUGGUAAUUCACAUAAGUUUUUCACUGACUAAGCUAAGCAUCUUAUAGUACUGCUUGUUCCCAUUAGUGUCAAAUACUAUAAGCUAUACAUUUCAGUUUAAAAAUACCUUUGCAUUAUUCAAUUAUUCAAUGCUUUCCUAAAUGAGGCAGUAAAAAUGCUGAAAAGAAGCUAGAAAGCUUUAAGCAAUGUUAGUGCAUGUUUCAUGCUGCAAUUGCAAACAUACUCUGUAUGUCAUUGCAUUAUUAUAUGGAUAUAGCACAUUGUCUACUAGAAAUAGUUUUUGAGGAUCAGCAUGUCUUGUAAAUAUGAGGAAUAUUGUCAAAGUUAAAAAAAAUCAAAAUAAUAAUUUAAAAUAUUAUUAUAAUUCUUGCAUGCUGAUCUGAGCCCUAAUAUUUAGUCAUAUUUCUACAUCACUUUAUAAAGGCAGGUUAUUUGUAGAGAUGGAAAUUUCACAAAAUACUAAAGGAAGAAAAUGAUGAUAGACGUUUUUAAAGAGCAAAGCAGCAGAGCAACUGCAGCUGUCAAAGGCUGGAGGAUUACAAAAAUUGUUUUUAAAAUCAAGAACAUCAAGUGCAAUAAAGAAACAAAAUAGUAAAAAUGUUGCACUUUGUUAUUUUGGACCUAUUGUGAAGUUUUUAACAGACCACAUAGUCUGCAGAACCUACAGCAAUAAAGACUCUUUUGUAAGGUACAUGGUAAACAGGUUGGACUUUGAUUUUUCAGGGAACCCGUGUCUACAUAUUGCUGU